GCCCCAGUAGCUUAGACCGGUUAGAUCGCCUCCUUGGUAAGGAGGAGGCCGCGAGUUCAAAUCUCGCCUGGGGCUCCA
rnacentral:tRNA from 1 species